rnacentral:rRNA from 1 species
AUGGCCGUAUGUGCUAGAGACAACGUGAUUAGAAACUUGGAAGAGAAUUUGGUGUUCAGAGAGUACAUUUCUGUUUCUGAAGAACUAGAGCAUGAGAAGACUGAUAUUUGUACACAGGAUGUCAACCUCACCUAUUCAGAUAUAUGUCUGGAUCCACAGAAUUACCUGAGCAACUGGGAUGAAUCUCACUCACCGUGCCAGUUUCACGGUGUAACGUGCGAUGAAAUUUCUGGUGAGGUCACAGGAGUGUCACUCUCAAAUGCCUCGCUGUCAGGCACAAUAUCACCAUCAUUUUCUGUUCUCCACCAGUUGCAUACUUUGGACCUCAGCGCAAAUUCCAUCUCAGGCACUAUCCCUGCAGCACUGACCAACUGCACAAAUUUGCAAGUUCUUAAUUUGUCAAUGAACAGCUUGACAGGCCAACUGCCUGAUCUUUCAUCAUUGCUCAAACUGAAAGUUCUUGAUUUGUCAACAAAUGGUUUUUCUGGUGCAUUCCCUGUGUGGAUCAGCAAAUUAUCAGGCCUAACUGAAUUGGGCCUAGGAGAGAACAGUUUCGAUGAAGGUGGUGUUCCUGAAAGCAUUGGACUCCUGAAGAACCUGACAUGGCUAUUCUUGGGGCAAUGCAACCUUAGAGGAGAGAUACCAGCUUCAGUCUUUCAUUUGGAGUCACUUGGGACCCUGGACUUCUCGCGCAAUCAGAUGACCGGUGUGUUCCCGAAGGCGAUAUCCAACUUGCGCAACCUGUGGAAGAUUGAGCUCUACCAAAACAAUCUGACCGGUGAAAUUCCUCCUGAGCUUGCACACCUGACAUUGUUGUCUGAAUUUGAUGUGUCUCAUAAUCAACUUACUGGUGUACUGCCCAAGGAAAUUGCUAGCCUGAAGAAGCUUAAGAUCUUCCAUAUCUACAGGAACAACUUCUACGGUGAGCUUCCUGAAGGACUGGGGGACUGGGAGUUCCUUGAGUCGUUUUCAACUUAUGAAAAUCAGUUCUCAGGAAAGUUCCCUGCCAACCUUGGCCGGUUCUCACCACUCAAUGCAAUUGACAUAUCAGAGAACUAUUUUACUGGUGAAUUUCCAAAGUUCCUGUGUCAAAGCGAUAAAUUGCAGUUCUUACUGGCUUUGAGCAACAACUUCUCAGGUGAAUUCCCCACCUCUUACUCUUCUUGCAAGACACUAGAAAGGUUUAGAGUAAGUCAAAAUCAGUUCAGUGGGAGCAUUCCUCAUGGCAUAUGGGGAUUGCCUAAUGCUGUGAUCAUUGAUGUUGCUGACAAUGGAUUUAUUGGAGGAAUAUCUUCUGAUAUAGGCAUUUCAGCCACCCUAACCCAGCUGCUUCUUCAGAACAACAACUUCUCUAGUGAGCUUCCAAUGGAGCUGGGAAAUCUCUCUCAGCUCAAGAAGCUAGUUGCUUCCAACAACAGAUUCUCUGGCCAAGUCCCUGCACAGAUUGGUAACCUGAAGCAAUUGUCAUACCUGCAUUUGGAACAGAAUGCACUGGAAGGGUCAAUACCACCAGAAAUUGGUUUGUGCAACAGCCUAGUUGACCUUGAUCUUGCAGAGAAUUCUUUGUCUGGCAAAAUUCCUGACACAGUUGGCUCCCUUUUGAUGCUGGAUUCACUCAAUCUAUCCCAUAACAUGAUCUCUGGUGGAAUCCCUGAUGCAUUGCAGUCACUGAGGCUAAGCUAUGCUGAUUUCUCUCACAACAAUUUGUCUGGACCAAUCCCCCCACAACUCCUGAUGACUGCCGGAGAUGAUGCAUUCUCUGAAAACUCUGACCUAUGUGUCACUGACACUUCAGAAGGCUGGAGGCAAUCAGGCACCAGUUUACGCCCUUGCCAGUGGAUUGACAACCAUCAUAGCUUUUCACGGAGGCGGCUUUUUGCUGUGCUGAUCAUGGUGACCUCUCUGGUUGUUCUCUUAUCUGGAUUGGCAUGUCUGAGAUAUGAAAAUAACAGGCUUGAGGAUUUCAACAGAAAGCAAGACACUGAGAGUGGUGAUGACAGUGACUCAAAGUGGAUUGUCGAGUCCUUCCAUGUGCGAGGGGUCAAUCCAUCAGCUGCUUUGCCGAAAAUAUUUUGCCAGUGCUACCCAAACCCAACUACUCUAUUAUUCAUCUUCUCCUGUCCUGGGCUUCCAUAUUCUCUCAAGGCGCGAGAAGAGAGUGACGUGAACUCUAGUCUUGUGCCCUGA